CUUACCUGUUUGGUUCCGGUUUUCCCCUGGGCACUCUGAAUACAUGUCCCGAGAAGGUUCCUGUGGACAGACGGGCGCUGCUUGAUUGAGAUCGCUGUCAUUAUAUUCCCAAGUGUGUGAGUGUCGGCCACGGUCAC